rnacentral:misc_RNA from 1 species
ACAAAAUGGCGUUAGCUUCAGCUAAAGCUUUGUUAGAUGAGUUAAUGGGAAGAGAUCGUAAUUUAGCACCUACAGAUCAAAAGAAAGAAGCAAGUUGGAGUAACUCACAGGUUUGCAAGCACUUUCUGGUGAAAUUCUGCCCAAAUGACCUGUUUGUUAAUACAAAAGCAGACUUAGGAAUAUGCAAUAAAAUUCAUGAUGAAAAGAUAAAAAAAGAGUACGAGGAGAGUGACUGUUUUCAACAAAUGGGCUAUGAAGACGAGUUUAUAAGGUUCUGCCAAGGGAUGCUUUCGGACGUAGAGAGAAGAAUCCAGCGAGCAAGAAGAAGGUUAGCACUGGGACAUCAAGAAGGAGGGAUAGCUGCUGUGCCAUUAUCAAAAAACAGUGAAGAGAAAAUUCAGGUGUUAACUGACCGCGUCAAUGAAUUAUUGAUACAGGUGGAAGAACUUGGAUGUGAAGGCAAAGUAGAAGAAGCACAAGGAAUAAUGAAACUAGUAGAUCAACUCAAGGAAGAGAGAGAAGCAAUGAGGAAAGGUUCUGAACCAAGUCAUUGGUUACAGCUAACAGCAGAAAUUGCUGCAGCCCAAGAAAAACAGAUGGAAGUGUGCGAAGUUUGUGGGGCUUUUCUGAUUGUUGGCGAUGCUCAGCAGCGGGUGGACGAUCACUUGAUGGGUAAACAACACGUGGGAUAUGCUAGAUUGAAGUCCGCUGUAGAAGAAAUCUUGCACGAAAGGGAAAAAGAAAGAGAGGAACGAGAAAAUCAGCGAGAAAAAGAAAGACAGGAACGUCGCAAAAAACAAGAAGAGGAGGAAAAACGUAGAGAAAAAGAAAGAGAGGAAAGAAGGAAAAAGCUGGAAGAAGAGGAAAAAAAACGCAAGGAAAAAGAACAUGAGCGAUACGUGCGCCAUUCUCGAAGUCGAGAUUGGGAAAGGAGAAGAAGUCGUGACAGAAGAAGUAGAAGUCGAGAACGCAGACAUUCUCACAGCAGUAAGGAGAAAACAAAGCAUAACAGAGACGACAAGGAAAGGUUUGUCAUAUCACGACAACGGUCCAGAAGCAGAUCUCGGGAAUACAAGCAUUCCCAUCAUUCUAAUGUUCAGUCUAAGGACAAGAAAACAGAGUCUAAGCAUAGGGACAGGGGAAGAUCAGAAAGGGACUCCAAGUACCAGAGACAUAGUAGAGACAGUCCCGAAGGUUGUAGAAGUGAUUCGUGUAAUGAUACUGUUGAAAAUGGAGAUGUGCGAGCUUCUGACAACGAUGUAAGUUUGACAGCAGAAAGAUAAGAAUCCAGAUUAGUGACUUUUAUUUUUAAAAAGCAUCAGUUCUUGUACUAGCAGGGUGUGAUAGUUUUUUUCUUUGAAGCCAGCCUGUGGUAGAAUGGAGGAGGAGUACCAGCAUGACCAUAUUCAAGAGUGAACGUAUAUGUGACUGAACCAGAGAGAGGAAGUCUCCAUGUGCAGUGUCUGAGGAUUGUGCUCUGUCAGUAUUGUUUUAAAUAGCAUAAGGUAUGGAUAAGAAUGUACUAAAUUUGGAAUUUUACUUAAUCUUUCCAAAAGAUACAAGUGAUUUUUUUAUAUGUACGUAGCCCUAUUUUGUUUAGUUUGUUGAUGUAAAAGAAAACAUUUUAACCUUAAGUUCCAUUUCCUGAAAUGAUAAUAUUUUGUAACAAUAUAAAUAUAGUAAAUUGUUAGCAGUGCUCCACGGAAUUGUCAAACUAGUUGUUAUUAAAGGUUUUUUUGAAUGUUCAAUUUUUGUAUGUUGGCUUUUUCAUCUGACCAACAAAAUGCUAACUGUAAAGCUUCAGGCCUGUAUUGUAAAACUUGGAGAAUGGUGUACUGUACCAAAUUAUUCCCAAGAAUGUAUCAUCUGACAAUAUACAGAAGAUUGGAAAUAAAAUCAGACACUUUGCUAUAUAACA